rnacentral:rRNA from 1 species
GACGAACCGUGCGAACGUUAUUCGGAAUCAUUGGGCUUAAAGGGUGCGUAGGCGGGCUCGUGAGUCAGGGGUGAAAUCCCACGGCCCAACCGUGGAAGUGCCUCUGAUACCGCGGGCCGCUCGAGGGGGGGAUAGGGGCGUGCGGAACUUCCGGUGGAGCGGUGAAAUGCGUAGAUAUCGGAAGGAACACCGGUGGCGAAAGCGGCGCGCUGGAUCCCUACUGACGCUGAGGCACGAAAGCCAGGGGAGCAAACGGGG